rnacentral:lncRNA from 1 species
UGAAAAAUGUCCGAUGCAGCCCUUACACCUAACACCAUGUGAGGAUUGUCAUCGUACAUGUCGAUCCUUCUACUGCUAUGAAAAACACAACAUUUAAACAUGGCACCCCAAGGCAUGUAAAUCUGUAAGCAGUUGUGACAUUAACAAGAAAUGUCCAAAAUGCCAUUGUAAUUACAACCUUAAAAUAGACAACCCCCAACCUCACAUAUGUCGGAUGAUAAUCUGCACGAUCUGUAAAGGUAUGUGGUAUCCUACACUGCCCUGUCUGUAAAGGUAUGUGGUAUCCUACACUGCCCUGUCUGUAAAGAUAUGUGGUAUCCUAAACUGCCCUGUCUGUAAAGGUAUGUGGUAUCCUACACUGCCCUGUCUGUAAAGGUAUGUGGUAUCCUACACUGCCCUGUCUGUAAAGGUAUGUGGUAUCCUAAACUGCCCUGUCUGUAAAGGUAUGUGGUAUCCUAAACUGCCCUGUCUGUAAAGGUAUGUGGUAUCCUAAACUGCCCUGUCUGUAAAGGUAUGUGGUAUCCUAAACUGCCCUGUCUGUAAAGGGCCUUUGAAAAGCAGAGACCCUGAAGUGGUUCAAGAAGUGGAACAUGAGUGUUAUAUUCAGCCAUUGGCUGAAGAUGAACAUUCAGAGAAAUAUGUAUUUUAUGACUUUGAGAGUAAUCAACAGUCAGGGGUUCAUCUGCCUAUAUGUCACUUCUUUCCUAGAUAUUGGACGAAGGCGCAGCAGGUUGAGUGCUCAUAUUUACUUUUAUUGAACAGUAAAACAACAAAACGUACGAACGAACGAACAGGAUGCAGGCUAAACACAAAGCUAUGCAACUACAACUACCCCCAAAUACCCCAUACAAAACAACCCCUAUACAUAGGACCUUCAAUCAGAGGCAACGAGGAACAGCUGCCUCCAAUUGAAGGUCAAAUCAAUAAACUGAACAUAGACGUAAACAACCUAGAACUAACAUAGAAUGCACUAACCUAGAACCUAAACCUAAAACCCCGGUACACUCUAAACCAACACCCCUCUACAUAAACACAUAGCCCAACAAACCCCUAAACACUCUAAACAAAUACCCCCUGCCACGUCCUGACUAAACAUCAAUAACAAAUAAGCCCUUUACUGGUCAGGACGUGACACUAUAUUUGUAUCUACCAUGAUUUUCAAGGGUGAAAGGUGGUUGGCAAAGAGCCUCAAUUGUGCCCUACUCUUUCUAAAACAUUCCUUAACCUCUUAGGGCUAGGGGGCAGUAUUUACACUGCCGGAUAAAAAACGUCCCCGAUUCUGAUUACUACUCCUACCCAGUUACUAGAAUAUGCAUAUACUUAUUAGAUAUGGAUAGAAAACACCCUAAAGUUUCUAAAACUGUUUGAAUGGUGUCUGUGAGUAUAACAGAACUCAUAUGGCAGGCAAAAACCUGAGAGAUUCCUUUACAGGAAGUGACCUGUCUG